AGCUUGCAAAUUACUCGUCAGGCUACGCCCAGUCAGGGAAAGGGACUCUGAAAUUCCAGUUGAUCAACCAGCGGCAGGAUUUUUCCUUCGGAUUGUUCACCGGUGGAUUCUCAAAUCCAACACUCGUCGCAGUGUCGAACAAGAUUGCUUUCGCAAACCCGAAUGCUCCAGUUUAUCCCCGUUUAGCGCUUGGAAAAACAUGGAAUGAGAUGACUGUCACAUGGACAAGUGGCUAUGACAGCAGUGA